rnacentral:misc_RNA from 1 species
GAAGUGCGAUAAGCAAUGCGAAUUGCAGAACCGUGAGUCAUCAGAUUUUUGAACGCAACUGGCGCUGGCUGGAUCUCCAGCCAGCAUGCUUGUUUCAGUGUCUUGUUUUCUCCUCACCCAAACCUUAAUGCGAGAGAUACCCUUCUCUUGCUAAGCAUGAAAGCACUCUGCUUUUGCAAGCGGCUAUUGAUUCGUCAACUGUCGCACUCAAUGCAGACGUCACAUUUUCCAAUGUGAACUCUUGGGAGCAAAGGCUGUCAGCUAACGCUGUCAGUGCUUAGUCACUUAAACUCUUUUGCAUCUGAAAUCAAGCAGGAUCACCCGCUGAACUUAAGC